UAAAGACAGAAGCAGAUGCCUGUGUAGACAGUUUAAGAAACCGCUGUGUAUUUGAGGAAGGAAAGAAAUAACCUGGUAAUAGAAGUAACUUUCCUGGCUGGAGAUUGCAGAUCCCAGCUGGAAACAAUGAAGACACUUAUUGGCAUGUUCCUGUUCUUGUGGCUGCAGCUGGACUGGUUGAGUAGAGGAGAAGAGAUACAGCAGCACCCUUCUUUCUUGACUGUCCGGGAGGGAGGCAGCUUUGUUAUCAACUGCACUUACACAGACAGUGCCUCUGACUACUUCUUUUGGUACAAGCAAGAACCUGGAAAAGGCCUCCAGUUGCUUAUAUAUACUCUUUCAAAUGUGGUCAAGAAACAAGAACAAAGACUCACCGUCCUAUUUAAUAAGAAGGACAAACAUCUUUCCCUGCAAGACACAGCCACCCAUCCUAGGGACUCAGCCACCUACUUCUGUGCAACAAGAGCACAGUGGUCCCCAGGCACCUGCAGCCUGCCCCCAAACCUAAGACUGGGGUGGAAGCCCCACUCUUUUUCCCUUUGUUACCAGCCUUCAAGCCAGAGAUUUUGCCAUAUUCCAUCUUAAAUAAACAUUGUUUUAAAAAUAUAUAUAUAUGUAUAAAUAUUCUAAAUGAUCUUAAAGAAUGUCAGUUUCAGAAUGACCCAAUAAGUGUAAGAACAUUUGAAAUGAACACUUAAGGGAGUUAGUGAUUUCUUAGUUAAGUAUCUGGCUUUAAGGUUCAUGUUUUGGGUACUGUUCAGAGUUACACUUUACAAAGGACAAUGUCAGGGAGUACUCUUCUUGAUGGAAAGAUUUUUUACCUUUUAUUUGUU